rnacentral:lncRNA from 1 species
GAAGAGGGGUCGCACAGCUGGGGUCCCCCUGUGCAGCUGGUCUUGUGGUGGAUGUCGUUCCAGGUGAUGACAUUCGGUCUCCCUGUGGUCAUGGACGUGCCGAUAGUGAAGUCUCCAUUCAGCAACAAAUGGAUUCUCAGAAGUGAUGGAAGUUAGCUGGUCUCUACACUCCAGACAACUCAGCAAAAAUGUGAAGACAGAAUAAUCUAUCUUUCAGCCUUCCCUUCACCUGAAAAUACUCCUAAUGUUUCUGCCACUGUCUAACUUGUUCCAUUUUCCAUCACUCUUCUGUGCAGCUUCUUCACCCCUCUGCAGCCAGAAUUGCACAUUACUCUUUGUCCAGCAGGAAGACACCUAUAGGCCUUGACUACUCCUGUUUUUACAGAGUGAUGCUCCUGGCUCUGUUGGGUUGGUCAGAUCCCUUCCUAUUGUGCCUCCCUUCCCCUAAG